ACUGUCCAUCUUGCAUUUUGGGGAAGAGGGGGGGAGAGGAAGAAGAAGAAGGAGUGUGCAGGGAGGAGGAGAAGGGGGGGGGCGAGGAAAAGAAGGGAAAGAGAGAGGUUCAGGGGUGACAGGAGGAUGGCUUCAUGGCUGCAUUUUCCCUGCGCUGAAUUUCCACACUCCCCUCCUCUCUUCUCUGUUUUGCCUUAUUCAGCUGAGCGAGUGAGGGAGUCAAACAGACAAGGAGAGUUUGCAGUUUGAAGACUGAGAAAGAGAGAAAAAUCAAGCCAAUUUUCUGCGUUUUUUGGUAGUUUUUUUUUUAAGGCUGGGAUUUUGGCUGUCUUACAAACAGAUGUUGCUUGUCAUUUGCUCGUAGUGCAGGGAGGCUGCUUGUAGAUUGCAGAGGUUUUACAGGCUGAAAGAUUACCUCUCGCUUAUUUAUACUUAUUAUUACUAGCGCGCGGUAAACUGAAAUUGUAAAAACACCAAAGAAAGAAAGAAAAAAAAACGAGUCUGUUUUUCUGUUAUCGUUUACUUUUUUCCCCUCCUUCUCUUCCCCCCACCAGUUUCUCUCCCUCUUCCCUUUGCUUUUUUCUUUUGUCUCACUCUUUCCCACCCUCUCCCCGAGCUCCUUUUCGGGUUGGUUUUGUUACUGUAGUUGCAUGUUUGAGCUGUUUUUUUUUUUGAUUUUUUGGUGGGCCACAGUGGACAUGACUGCCUAUACCUUCUGCCAAGCACCGUAGGCCCUGCAGAGUAGAGAAAAGAAACAUUUGGAAACUAAACAUAAAGGCAAAUCGCCAUUUCAACCAGGCCAGGACAUGUCGAGGAAUGGUCCGUGAACAUGAGACGCAUAUGACAACCUCACUGAAGCGAGCCUCAACUGCCCAUAAACAUACAUACACAGAUUUGUGUGGUGUACAUGAUAUGUUGACCCUUACAUACAUACAGCUGGACCGACGUACACACACACACACACACACACACUUCUGGCAUUUUUUUUUUUUUUGUUGUUAAUAUGGUUCCAGUACUGAGAUAUUAAGAUGUUUUUCUAGAGGAAUGUCUUUCUUUUGUCUUUGUAAUACAAAAAAAAAAUUGUUGUUAAUAAAAUAUUUAUUGAAAAUCUC